rnacentral:rRNA from 1 species
GACGAACGCUGGCGGCGUGCUUAACACAUGCAAGUCGAACGAUGAAGCUGGAGCUUGCUCCGGUGGAUUAGUGGCGAACGGGUGAGUAACACGUGAGCAAUCUGCCCUUCACUCUGGGAUAACUGCGGGAAACUGUAGCUAAUACCGGAUACGAGACCUUGGGGCAUCCCAGGGUCUGGAAAGAAUUUCGGUGAAGGAUGAGCUCGCGGCCUAUCAGCUAGUUGGUGAGGUAAUGGCUCACCAAGGCGACGACGGGUAGCCGGCCUGAGAGGGUGACCGGCGACACUGGGACUGAGACACGGCCCAGACUCCUACGGGGGGCAGCAGUGGGGAAUAUUGCACAAUGGGCGAAAGCCUGAUGCAGCAACGCCGCGUGAGGGAUGAAGGCCUUCGGGUUGUAAACCUCUUUUAGUAGGGAAGAAGCGCAAGUGACGGUACCUACAGAAAAAGCACCGGCUAACUACGUGCCAGCCGCCGCAGUAA